GGACUACUAGGGUAUCUAAUCCCAUUCGCUACCCACGCUUUCGUCCUAGCAGUGUCAGGAGGCACCCAGUGAUCUGCCUUCGCUUUCGGUGUUCCGAAUGAUAUCAACGCAUUUCACUACUACACCAUUCGUUCCAAUCACCUCUUUGCCCCUCUAGUUUCGCAGUAUCUUAAGCAAACUCCGAAGUUGAGCUUCGGGCUUUUACCCAAGACUAACAAAACCACCUAUCGGUACGCUUUACGCCCAAUGAUUCCGGAUAACGCUUGAGGUCUCUGUAUUACCGCGGCUGCUGGCAC
rnacentral:rRNA from 1 species